AUGUGUUGAGAAAAGUUACACACAUUAUUUUUUUUUUUAUAAAUUCGGAAGAAAUGUUAAAACCUUAUAAAUUCACCCAAAAUAAUAUGGUCAUAGAAUUAGAGUCUACAUGUAUAACAAAUCAAAAAAUAAUGCAUAUCUUACUACAUAAUUCUAUCAUAUAUAUAAAUAUGAUUUAUUUUGUUCAAUUUCAUAGAAUAAUAUUUUAAUUUUUAAAAAAUUAUCAAAAUACAAAACUUAAAUAGACUUAAAUUAUCAAAACUUAUAUAUAGAAGGGGAGGUUGGGCUAUGUUUUUUUUAUUUCAAGUGUUCUCAGUGUUGGCCUCUUGCCAACCAACCACUGCAUUCUUCUUCAUAGAGGGGUUUUGGGUCUAUUUAUUUUUAGUUCGCAAUUUAAGUUGGUUUUGUAUGCUCCCUAUUUUUUUUCUGUUCUUUAUUAUCUUUUCCCCCUGUUUAUUUAUUGAUUGUAAUGAUUCAUAUUAUUAUUCAUAAACUCUUUUUAUUUUUUGAUAAAAAUAAAAAUCAUAUUGCAGAAUGGUAAUUUGUUUUCUCACUUUAACACUCCAGACAUAAUCAGGAUCACAUACCCAAUCACAAUAAUCAACCAUAUCUUUUUUUUUCUUUCUUAAUUUUUGGGUCGGAGCAUCGAUUACUUACUUAGAAUUUAUGUAUUUUCACCAUGAAUAGUUGGUGUCUUUUUGCUUCAUCUGCAUAUGUUGUUUGAUCUCCGUUUUGUGGUAGUCACUAACCCAAUUACUUUUCAAUUUUCAGCAAUUAUUAUUAUUAUUAUUAUUUUCCCUGUGGUGUUUUCAGGUUUUAGUAAGAGUUGUUCAAGGUGUAAGUUUCGGUAGAUGCUUGUCAAAUGUUUAUUUGUCAUUGUUGUUAUUGUUUUCAUUUGCAGGUUCGAUUAUCUGCUUUGCUCCAACUACCGCUAUUCUUGGGAAACCAAAAGAGCUACUGAAGGAUGGUAUCAACUUUUUCAAUCAUUUUCUGUUGCUUCCGAUGAAGUAAAUGUUGCAUCUGAUUUAAAGAAAUGUUGCAUCUUGUUGAAGACCUAAAGGAGGUUUGAUGAAUCUAGAUUUGCAAUGGCUUGAUGAUUUUGUAUUGUUGUUGUUUCCUUGUUUCUAGUCGUGUUGCUUUUUUUUUUUUUUUUGGUAAACCAAGUUGCUUCUUUUAUCAUACUGUAUUUUCUACUAUUGCUUUUGUACGUGUCAUAUAUAAAAGCUUAGUGGUAAAUUGACUGGUUUAUGCUGAUGCUAUUGUUGUUGCUUCUUUGGUUUUCUAGACUUUCUGUGCAGCUAUUGCCAUCUUCUCAUGGUCUGUAUGUUGUAUCUGUUGCACAUAUGUUCAUGUCAGAUGUAAACAAUGGCUAGAUUGGCUAAAUGGAAGACUUUGUUUGUAUGGGACGAGGAGGAGGAAUACCAUCAUAGGUUAUUGAAAAUCCUGCCACAAAUUGAUCAGCUUAAUGCCAAUCAAUGGAUCAAUUAAUUUGGAGGAGUGAUCCAUCAGGUGAUUAGGCGCGUGACCAGGCUUGAGACUUCCAGUUUGGAUUUACUUUUGUCAAACCAACCAAUGCGCCUUACGUGGAGGUUCCUGGAAGUCUUUGUGUUCAAUGUUAUGUCAAGUGAACAGUUUUAUUUUCUUACAUCUUUUGGACAAGUUUUUGGUUAUCUAUAUUUAGGCUAAGUCCCUUUUGUUUUAUUUGUAUUUGGAUGACGUAAGGAUGAUGCAUUAAUAUAGAUCUACAGUUUGAAA